rnacentral:rRNA from 1 species
GGACUACAGGGGUAUCUAAUCCUGUUUGAUCCCCGCACUUUCGCAUCUCAGCGUCAGUAUUAGGCCAGAUGGCCGCCUUCGCCACCGGUAUUCCUCCUGAUAUCUACGUAUUUCACCACUACACCAGGAAUUCUACCAUCCUCUCCCAUACUCAAGCUUUACAGUUUCAAAUGCACUUCCAUGGUUAAGCCAUGGGCUUUCACACCUGACUUGAAAAGCCGCCUACAUGCGCUUUACGCCCAGUGAUUCCGAACAACGCUAGGACCCCUCGUCUUACCGCGGCUGCUGGCAC